GACGAACCGAGCGAACGUUGUUCGGAUUCACUGGGCUUAAAGGGCGCGUAGGCGGGCCGUCUGGUCUGGGGUGAAAUCCUCCCGCUUAACGGGAGAACGGCCCUGGAAACCGGCGGUCUUGAGGGAGGUAGGGGCGUGCGGAACACUGGGUGGAGCGGUGAAAUGCGUUGAUAUCCAGUGGAACUCCGGUGGCGAAGGCGGCACGCUGGACCUUUACUGACGCUGAGGCGCGAAAGCCAGGGGAGCAAAC
rnacentral:rRNA from 1 species